rnacentral:rRNA from 1 species
GACGAACGCUGGCGGCGUGCCUAAUACAUGCAAGUCGAGCGAGCGGCGGACGGGUGAGUAAUGUAUGGGAAACUGCCCGAUAGAGGGGGAUAACUACUGGAAACGGUAGCUAAUACCGCAUACUAUCGGAUGAACCCAUAUGGGAUUAGCUAGUAGGUGGGGUAAAGGCUCACCUAGGCGACGAUCUCUAGCUGGUCUGAGAGGAUGAUCAGCCACACUGGGACUGAGACACGGUCCAGACUCCUACGGGAGGCAGCAGUGGGGAAUAUUGCACAAUGGGCGCAAGCCUGAUGCAGCCAUGCCGCGUGUAUGAAGAAGGCCUUCGGGUUGUAAAGUACUUUCAGCGGGGAGGCGUUACCCGCAGAAGAAGCACCGGCUAACUCCGUGCCAGCAGCCGCGGUAAUAC